UAGGGAAUCUUCCGCAAUGGACGAAAGUCUGACGGAGCAACGCCGCGUGAGUGAUGAAGGUUUUCGGAUCGUAAAGCUCUGUUGUUAGGGAAGAACAAGUACCGUUCGAAUAGGGCGGCACCUUGACGGUACCUAACCAGAAAGCCACGGCUAACUACGUGCCAGCAGCCGCGGUAAUACGUAGGUGGCAAGCGUUGUCCGGAUUUACUGGGUGUAAAGGGUGCUCAGGCGGGUUUGUAAGUCAGAGGUGAAACUCCGAAGCUUAACUUCGGAACUGCCUUUGAUACUGCAUCCCUAGAGUUUGAGAGAGGCGAGUGGAAUAUCUGGUGUAGCAGUGAAAUGCGUAGAUAUCAGAUAGAACACCAAUGGCGAAGGCAGCUCGCUGGCUCAAUACUGACGCUAAAGCACGAAAGCGUGGGUAGCAAACA
rnacentral:rRNA from 1 species